CACAGAGAGAGAGACACAUGAAUUCAGUCAUUUCAAAUACAUUUUAUAGAGGGAGGAAAAAGGCUGAAUUUGAUAAACUGCCUGUUAUCAAGGUUUUAAAAGAGGAAAAUAUUAAUAAAAGACUGGAAGCUCUUUGGACAUAAUGACUGAUGUGGGAAAAUGGCAGCUCUUGGAACACCACAUCUAUUGUGGGAGAAAGGGGACCCAGGUCAAACAAAUUCAGUUUUUAAUGCUUCCCCUCUGUUAGCACCACACUGUAAAGUUAAAAAUUUUAAAAGGUUAAAGGUUAAAGGAAUGACACUAAACUGGUUUAAGUCCUAUCUAUCUGAUAGGCUUCAGUUUGUACAUGUUAACAACUACUCCUCCAUGUACACAGUUAUUAGACAUGGAGUCCCACAAGUGGUCAGUGCGUGGUCCAGUCCUCUUCACUUUGUAUAUGCUUCCCAUGGGCCAUCAUUAUUAUGAAUCACUCCAUAAAUUCCCAUUGUUAUGCAGGAUGAUACAUUAUCAGGCUGCCCCAACAAGUCUCUCAAGACUCUGCAGCUGAUUCAAAAUGCUAGCAGCAUGAUAAUUGACAGGAACUAAGAAAAGAGACCAUAUUUCUCCCGUGUUAGCCUCUCUACAUUGGCUCCCAGUCAAAUCCAGAAUAGAAUUCACUUCAAUCUGAGAGAGAGACACCCUCUGUACCUUUAAGAGUAGGCUUAAAACUUUUUGAUAAAGCUUAUAGUUAGGGUUGGCUCAGGCUUGACUGCCGGGAGAUCUCCCCUGAUGCACUGAGCUUCUCUCUUUCUCUCUCUCCACUUAAUAUGGAUUCAUUUCCCAUAAAUACAUGUCACUAACUCAAUAUCUUCUCUUUCCUGUAGUAUUGUGCUCUUUCCUCUCUCUCUCUCCUCUUCUGUCUCUUUCUGCAGGUAUUUCUGCCUCUGGAGCUGUAGAGUCUGAUCUGUGAUGAGAAGCUUCCUGCUGCUCCUUACAACUCCACUCAACACCUGCUGCUAGAAUUAGAAAUUACUUGUACUGCUAUAAGUUUUAUUGCUACAUUAGCAGUUAAUACUUUAAUUAUCACUACUAUCAUUCUAUUAAUGUAUUAUUGGUAUCACCGUACAUUUUUUACACGGAACCCGUGUUAUGCUAGGCCAUAGGCCAUCUGCCUCAACCCAACGAGGCAGGUGGCCGCCCAUCCUGAAUCCGGUUCUGCUCGAGGUUUCUGCCUCUUAAAAGGAAGUUUUUCUUUGCCACUGUUGCCUAGUGCUUGCUCAUGGUGGGAACUGUUGGGUCUCUCUCUGUAAAUACCUAUUUUAAAGCGUAUGGGUCUAGACCUGUUCUUUAUGAAAAGUGCCUUGAGAUGACUUUUGUUGUGAUUCAGCGCUAUAUAAAUAAAAUUGAAUUGAAUUGAACUGAAUAGUGUAAACCUGGAGUGCGAGGCCACCAAUGUCAGGAGAUCACCGGGUCAAGGGAGGGCCUUAAAGGGCCCUCUAGCCUUUGAAUAAUCUGCUGGAAUAAUUUGUUAAGAAUACACAUUUAUGAAAACUAUUUCUAGUGUUUAUGAGUCACCUAAAAACUUGUUAUUUUGAACUUCCUAAUUUUCCUUGACAUGGUGGUUGAAAUCAAUUUUAUUUUUCUCUUGUAAUGCACAAAUGUUUAGUCUGUCACACUAAAGCAAGGUCAAAGAUUUUAGGUAGGUCAGACAAUGCUGGCCGGUCCGUAUACUCUGGCAAGGGUGGCAACAACUGUGGGCCAACUAUUCAAAAAAUAUCUGAAUUAAUGAGGAAUGUGUCAAUCAUACUGCACCUACAGCCGCAUCCCUCCCCACUGUGGACACUUCUGAAAGGUAAGUUAAGCAUUAUUUGCUCCCUAGUCAUUAAGUUGUUGAAUCUCCUGAUGAUAAGACUUGCAUUGGUACUAUUUAGUUUGAGUAGCUGAAAUUAGAUUAUUUGUAAAAUAGCUGUGCUGUCAUGACCCUACUCUUCAAAGAGCCUUUGGAGAUCAUGCUGUGCUACAAAUCCUGUAUGUUUGUAGCAUGCAUUUGCUAGCACAAAAUUCAGUAUUAUGCAUACAAAGCUGAGAAAACAGCCACAGGGAAGAUUACAUGAACGUCUGGCCUGAAUAUUCUAUCUGCUGUCUGGUUACAACAUCUGUAGCAUCUGUCACUGUCUACUUGACUUGUUAUGAUGAAACUU